UACGUAGGGUGCAAGCGUUAAUCGGAAUUACUGGGCGUAAAGCGUGCGCAGGCGGUGAUGUAAGACAGAUGUGAAAUCCCCGGGCUCAACCUGGGAACUGCAUCCGAAACUGCCUUGCUCGAGUAUGGGAGAGGGAAGUGGAAUUUCCGGUGUAGCGGUGAAAUGCGUAGAUAUCGGAAGGAACAUCAGUGGCGAAGGCGACUCCUGGACCAAUACUGACGCUCAGGUG
rnacentral:rRNA from 1 species